rnacentral:rRNA from 1 species
CAAGGUUGAAACUCAAAGGAAUUGACGGGGGCCCGCACAAGCGGUGGAGUAUGUGGUUUAAUUCGAAGCAACGCGAAGAACCUUACCAGGGCUUGACAUCCCGGUGACCGGUGUAGAGAUACACCUUCUUCUUCGGAAGCGCCGGUGACAGGUGGUGCAUGGUUGUCGUCAGCUCGUGUCGUGAGAUGUUGGGUUAAGUCCCGCAACGAGCGCAACCCUUAUUGUUAGUUGCUACGCAAGAGCACUCUAGCGAGACUGCCGUUGACAAAACGGAGGAAGGUGGGGACGACGUCAAAUCAUCAUGCCCCUUAUGUCCUGGGCCACACACGUACUACAAUGGUGGUUAACAGAGGGAAGCAAUACCGCGAGGUGGAGCAAAUCCCUAAAAGCCAUCCCAGUUCGGAUCGCAGGCUGCAACCCGCCUGCGUGAAGUUGGAAUCGCUAGUAAUCGCGGAUCAGCAUGCCGCGGUGAAUACGUUCCCGGGCCUUGUACACACCGCCCGUCACACCAUGAGAGUCGGGAACACCCGAAGUCCGUAGCCUAACAGCAAUGGGGGCGCGGCCGAAGGUGGGUUCGAUAAUUGGGGUGAAGUCGUAACAAGGUAACCGU